GUAGGGAAUCUUCCGCAAUGGACGAAAGUCUGACGGAGCAACGCCGCGUGAGUGAAGAAGGUCUUCGGAUCGUAAAACUCUGUUGUUAGGGAAGAACAAGUAUCGUUCGAAUAGGGCGGUACCUUGACGGUACCUAACCAGAAAGCCACGGCUAACUACGUGCCAGCAGCCGCGGUAAUACGUAGGUGGCAAGCGUUGUCCGGAAUUAUUGGGCGUAAAGCGCGCGCAGGCGGUCUUUUAAGUCUGAUGUGAAAGCCCACGGCUCAACCGUGGAGGGUCAUUGGAAACUGGAAGACUUGAGUGCAGAAGAGGAGAGUGGAAUUCCACGUGUAGCGGUGAAAUGCGUAGAGAUGUGGAGGAACACCAGUGGCGAAGGCGACUCUCUGGUCUGUAACUGACGCUGAGGCGCGAAAGCGUGGGGAGCAAACAGGAUUAGAUACCCGGGUAGUCC
rnacentral:rRNA from 1 species